GGCCCCUUAGCUCAACUGGAUAGAGCAGCUGCCUUCUAAGCAGCAGGUCGCAGGUUCGAGUCCUGCAGGGGUCGCCA
rnacentral:tRNA from 35 species